rnacentral:rRNA from 1 species
CGCGUAGGCGGCCCGGCAAGUCAACGGUGAAAGCUUGGGGCUCAACCCCGAGUCGGCCGUCGAUACUUCCGGGCUGGAGCACUGUAGAGGCAGGUGGAAUUCCGGGUGUAGCGGUGGAAUGCGUAGAGAUCCGGAAGAACACCGGUGGCGAAGGCGGCCUGCUGGGCAGUAGCUGACGCUGAGGCGCGACAGCGUGGGGAGCAAACA